UGGGGAAUAUUGGACAAUGGGCGCAAGCCUGAUCCAGCCAUGCCGCGUGAGUGAUGAAGGCCCUAGGGUUGUAAAGCUCUUUCACCGGUGAAGAUAAUGACGGUAACCGGAGAAGAAGCCCCGGCUAACUUCGUGCCAGCAGCCGCGGUAAUACGAAGGGGGCUAGCGUUGUUCGGAAUUACUGGGCGUAAAGCGCACGUAGGCGGACAUUUAAGUCAGGGGUGAAAUCCCGGGGCUCAACCCCGGAACUGCCUUUGAUACUGGGUGUCUAGAGUUCGAGAGAGGUGAGUGGAAUUCCGAGUGUAGAGGUGAAAUUCGUAGAUAUUCGGAGGAACACCAGUGGCGAAGGCGGCUCACUGGCUCGAUACUGACGCUGAGGUGCGAAAGCGUGGGGAGCAAAGCAGGAUUAGAUACCCUGGUAGUCCACGCCGUAAACGAUGGAAGCCAGCUGUCGGCAAGUUACUUGUCGGUGGCGCAGCUACGCAUUAAGCUUCCCGCCUGGGGAGUACGGUCGCAAGAUU
rnacentral:rRNA from 1 species